rnacentral:rRNA from 1 species
UACGUAGGGUGCAAGCGUUGUCCGGAAUUAUUGGGCGUAAAGAGCUCGUAGGCGGUUCGUCGCGUCGGAUGUGAAAGCCCGGGGCUUAACUCCGGGUCUGCAUUCGAUACGGGCAGGCUAGAGUUCGGUAGGGGAGAUCGGAAUUCCUGGUGUAGCGGUGAAAUGCGCAGAUAUCAGGAGGAACACCGGUGGCGAAGGCGGAUCUCUGGGCCGAUACUGACGCUGAGGAGCGAAAGCGUGGGGAGCGAACAGG